UUCUGUGUCAUGGUGGUGAGUGGCCAGAGGGAGGGACCCGGACUCUCUUUUUCUGCUUUUCCUUGGUGCACAAUAACCUCUACAGCUGCAAAGUUAAUGACAUCUAGUGCGACGCUUUUUCUAAAGCAAAAUCAGUUCCCACAGUCACAGAAUUAGAGGGAAGGAAAGGAAGAAAAAAGAAGAUUGAUGGGUUUGGCAGAAGAGAACUAUAAUCCAGUUUUCCACCCUGGGAAGACAACCGCUGUAAGUGUCAUUGAUUAAGAAUCCACUUCGUGUUGUGAUGAGCACCAGCUGUUCCAAGAUUCUGCCUGCGUCCUCACUGUGGCCAGGUGCCUAGAUUGGGAAGAAUGCAAAGAAGGGUGCUUACCAGAAAGGUUUAUGGAGCUGCCCUGACCAGGCCUGCCUUCCAGCCACCCUGCAUCCUGCAGAUGUAACCUCUCUGGGCCCCACCCUCCCCCCAAGACAUUGUGAAAAACUCAUUUUUAUGAUUGUGUUAUUAUAAAGGCAAAUCGGUAAUGUCAUGUAUUAAAAUAGCUCAUU